rnacentral:rRNA from 1 species
AACGUAGGUGGCGAGCGUUAUCCGGAUUUACUGGGCGUAAAGGGUGUGCAGGCGGGCUGUUAAGUGGUGUAUGAAAUAUCCCGGCUCAACCGGGAGAGGUUAUGCCAGACUGGCAGUCUAGAGAGCGAGAGAGGGACGUGGAAUUCCGGGUGUAGUGGUGAAAUGCGCAGAUAUCAGGAAGAACACCCGUGGCGAAGGCGGCUCUCUGGGACGGUACUGACGCUGAGACGCGAAAGCGUGGGGAGCGAACAGG